rnacentral:rRNA from 1 species
AAAUAACAAUACAGGGCCUAAGGUCUUGUAAUUGGAAUGAUGGGAAUUUAAACCACUUCCAGAGUAUCAAUUGGAGGGCAAGUCUGGUGCCAGCAGCCGCGGUAAUUCCAGCUCCAAUAGCGUAUAUUAAAAUUGUUGCAGUUAAAAAGCUCGUAGUUGAACUUCUGCUGCCCGGCAUUCGUCCGCUUCGGCGGCUAUCGUUUGCCUGGUGGCUUUCUUCUGGUGGCGUUGGCUUCGGCCUAUGUUAUCCAGACUUUUACUUUGAGAAAAUUAGAGUGUUUCAAGCAGGCGUUUGCCUUGAAUACUUCAGCAUGGAAUAAUAAAGUAGGACUUUGGUUCUAUUUUGUUGGUUUUUGAGCCAAAGUAAUGGUUAAUAGGAACAGUUGGGGGCAUUCGUAUUUA